GGGGGGGGGGGGGGGCGGGCCGGGCGCAGGCAGGGCGAGCGGUCACAGGCAGCGGCUUGCUGCUUUGCUGACGCGUGGCGGCCGGGUGAGUAAUGUCUGGGAAACUGCCCGUUGGAGGGGGGUAACUACUGGAAACGGUAGCUAAUACCGCAUAACGUCGCAAGACCAAAGAGGUGGACCUUAGGUCCUCUUGCCAUCGGACGUGCUCCGCUGGGUUGUGCUAGUAGUUGGGUUAACGCUUCACCUCGGCCACGUUCCGUAGCUGGUCUCAGAGGCUGACGAGCCACACUGGAACUGAGACACGGUCCAGACUCCUGCGGGAGGCAGCAGUGGGGAAUAUUGAACAAUGGGCGCAAGCCUGAUGCAACCAUGCCGAGUGUAUGGAGAAGGCAUUCGGGUUGUAAAAUACUUUCGGCGGGGAGGAAGGGAGUGGAGUUAAUACCUUUGCUCAUUGACGUUGCCCGCAGAAGAAGCAACGGCUAACUACGUG
rnacentral:rRNA from 1 species